rnacentral:tRNA from 1 species
AGAUGAAUGGCUGAGUGGUUUAAAGCAUCAAUUUUGAAAAUUGACAUAAUAUUUUUAUCGUGGGUUCGAAUCCUACUUCAUCUA